UGACCUCGAUCAGUAGAUGCAGUCAC
rnacentral:rRNA from 1 species